AUUGAACGCUGGCGGCAGGCCUAACACAUGCAAGUCGAACGAGUGGCGGACGGGUGAGUAAUGUCUGGGAAACUGCCCGAUGGAGGGGGAUAACUACUGGAAACGGUAGCUAAUACCGCAUACCAUCGGAUGUGCCCAGAUGGGAUUAGCUUGUAGGUGAGGUAACGGCUCACCUAGGCGACGAUCCCUAGCUGGUUUGAGAGGAUGACCAGUCACACUGGAACUGAGACACGGUGCAGACGCCUACGGGAGGCAGCAGUGUGGAAGAUGGAACAAGGGGCGAAAGCCUGAUGCAGCCAUGGCGCGUGUAUGAAGAAGGCCUUCGGGUUGUAAAGUACUUUCAGCGGGGAGGCGUUACCCGCAGAAGAAGCACCGGCUAACUCCGUGCCAGCAGCCGCGGUAAUAC
rnacentral:rRNA from 1 species